CAAUCUAUGCGUUAAACUAUAGAUGGCCUAUCUCCGUUACUAUUUUACUGGAUUUUCACAAACGAACUUUCAAAUGAAUUUGACAUACAUUGGUCUAAGAGGUAUGAGUGUAAUCGACUACCAGUCCUGUUAACUUAGUCAAUUGGAAAAAACCUUAGCAACGUUUUUACAUUCAUUUCAAGUAAUUUCACAACAUACAAUGAUUUAAAUUUGCAUCGACAAUAAAC
rnacentral:lncRNA from 1 species